GACGAACGCUGGCGGCGUGCUUAACACAUGCAAGUCGAACGGAAAGGCCCUGCUUUUGUGGGGUGCUCGAGUGGCGAACGGGUGAGUAACACGUGAGUAACCUGCCCUUGACUUUGGGAUAACUUCAGGAAACUGGGGCUAAUACCGGAUAGGAGCUCCUGCUGCAUGGUGGGGGUUGGAAAGUUUCGGCGGUUGGGGAUGGACUCGCGGCUUAUCAGCUUGUUGGUGGGGUAGUGGCUUACCAAGGCUUUGACGGGUAGCCGGCCUGAGAGGGUGACCGGCCACAUGGGGACUGAGAUACGGCCCAGACUCCUACGGGAGGCAGCAGUGGGAAAUAUUGCACAAUGGGCGGAAGCCUGAUGCAGCAACGCCGCGUGCGGGAUGACGGCCUUCGGGUUGUAAACCGCUUUCGCCUGUGACGAAGCGUGAGUGACGGUAAUGGGUAAAGAAGCACCGGCUAACUACGUG
rnacentral:rRNA from 1 species